rnacentral:rRNA from 1 species
GUCGUGGGGCAGCGCGGGUAGCAAUACCUGGCGGCGACCGGCAAACGGGUGCGGAACACGUACGCAACCUUCCUUUAAGCGGGGAAUAGCCCAGGGAAACUUGGAUUAAUACCCCAUAAGACAGUGGAGUGGCAUCACUCAGCUGUUAAAGCUCCGGCACUUAAAGAUGGGCGUGCGGCUGAUUAGGUAGUUGGCGGGGUAACGGCCCACCAAGCCGACGAUCAGUAACUGGUGUGAGAGCACGACCAGUCACACGGGCACUGAGACACGGGCCCGACUCCUACGGGAGGCAGCAGUAAGGAAUAUUGGUCAAUGGACGCAAGUCUGAACCAGCCAUGCCGCGUGGAGGAUGAAGGCCCUCUGGGUUGUAAACUUCUUUUAUUGGGGAAGAAACCUGACUUUUCUAAGGCAGUUGACGGUACCCGAUGAAUAAGCACCGGCUAACUCCGUGCCAGCAGCCGCGGUAAUACGGAGGGUGCAAGCGUUAUCCGGAUUCACUGGGUUUAAAGGGUGCGUAGGUGGGCAGGUAAGUCAGUGGUGAAAUCUCCGGGCUUAACCCGGAAACUGCCGUUGAUACUAUCUGUCUUGAAUAUAGUGGAGGUGAGCGGAAUAUGUCAUGUAGCGGUGAAAUGCUUAGAUAUGACAUAGAACAUCGAUUGCGAAGGCAGCUCGCUACACUAUCAUUGACACUGAGGCACGAAAGCGUGGGGAUCAAACAGGAUUAGAUACCCUGGUAGUCCACGCCCUA